AAAAAGGAAAGUGAGGUACUGUAUUUUUCUAGAAAACUCAUAUUUCUUCUUCCCAAAAAACACUUCGUAUUCUCCGCUGAAACAAUUUUCUCAAUCUGAAGUUUCAUUUCAACAUUUAUUCUUUUAAGCUUGUUUGAUGAUGGAAAAUUUAACAUCUUAUUUUAUUUUUCUGAAAUUUAAGCAUGUGUGUUGAGCGGAUAUUGAUGUUUAAAGAAUUGUGGAUUGUCAAGAGCUGUGUGAAAAAAAAUUGAUUUAUAUUUGUAAAAAUGACUCAUCAGAUUAAGCAGCCUUGUAGAGAUCAUCUCCGUGAAAGAAUAGUCUCUGUUGAAUCUUCAAAUUUGAGUGGAUAUGCCUCGAGUUGUUGCUAUCAAUUCCCAAGCAUGCACUAAAGAUUGGAUCUCAUUUGAGAAAACGUAACCUUUACUUCUCAGAUACAACACUUAUAUGGACUUUUGAUGAUAUUGUGGACAGCCUUGAGAAUGCUGGAGACGCUUCUGUUCUGCCGAUGCUAAGGGCUGCCAGAUUAAUCAUGUAGCUGUUAGCUUUAAGAAGGAAAGGUUCGAUGGUCUCUACCUGUCAUGGCAUAGACAUUCAGUGUAUCAUACGAACAGAGCCAAGUAAUAUGAAAGUAAAGGAGUAAUUCGAAAGCGACAUCUGGUGGAGUUGCCUUCUGCGAGUAAAAUCAAGAAUGCGAGAAGUAAGUGGUUUGAAAUUAGGUUCAUAACGUAAUCGUCUUUUGAAUCUGCCCAAAUAAUACCUUCUCGACACCGGCAACGAAGAAGAUGACGAUGACAAUGUCAGUCUCUGAAAUGCAUUUUGAUUCCGUUGCUGCUGCAAGGAUUUUGUUUUUGCGAUUACAUUUAAAAAGGUGUUGCUUCAGUUGCUAUAUAUUUAUUCAUCUAUGACAAAUUGCCAAUGUGUUCAACCACACUGAUUGUGAAGUUGCAUUUGGCCUAUGUCUUUCUGUGUUUUUUUUUUGCCAUAAAAUGAAACCCAACAAUGUAUUUCAGUUGCUUCAAAAGAGGCUUAAAAGCGUGUAUUUAUUCUAUGGGUAGUUAACGUGCAGUUUAUAUAGGGGCAGUUAAUAGCAGAUAUAGAUAGAUUUUUUAUUUUAAAUUAUUUUUUUAAAAAAAUUUAUAGAUAGAUUUUUAUUUUUUUAAAAUAGGAUUUUUCUAGUAUUGACACAUAAGGUUUUUGCCUCUCUUAUUAUAUAUAGAUAGAUUAGCUGCCUUUUUAUUUUAUUUUAUUCUCUUACGGUAAUUAGUAGCUCAUCAGACAUGUUUCAUACGCCUAUUUGUGGUAAGUACAUUAUUUGUAAAAUAUAAUUGAUUUACUUAACGGGUGUCUUCCUUUUUAUUGCUUUGACUAAAUUUGAUAUUAUAAGUGUGAUUUCAUAUUUAUGGAAAACCUCAUUGAUUGGCUUCAUCAACUAUUUUCCUCUUUCUUAAUUGAUUCGGACUGAUUUUUUGAAUAUCUUUUUUCCU